GAUGAACGCUGGCGGCGUGCCUAAUACAUGCAAGUCGAGCGAACGGACGAGAAGCUUGCUUUUCUGAUGUUAGCGGCGGACGGGUGAGUAACACGUGGAUAACCUACCUAUAAUACUGGGAUCACUUCGGGAAACCGGAGCUAAUACCGGAUAAUAUUUUGAACCGCAUGGUUCAAAAGUAAAAGACGGUCUUGCUGUCACUUAUAGAUGGAUCCGGGCUGCAUUAGCUAGUUGGUAAGGUAACGGCUUACCAAGGCGACGAUGCAUAGCCGACCUGAGAGGGUGAUCGGCCACACUGGAGCGGAGACACGGUCCAGACUCCUACGGGAGGCAGCAGUAGGGAAUCUUCCGCAAUGGGCGAAAGCCUGACGGAGCAACGCCGCGUGAGUGAUGAAGGUCUUCGGAUCGUAAAACUCUGUUAUUAGGGAAGAACAUAUGUGUAAGUAACUGUGCACAUCUUGACGGUACCUAAUCAGAAAGCCACGGCUAACUACGUG
rnacentral:rRNA from 1 species